UACGUAGGGUGCAAGCGUUAAUCGGAAUUACUGGGCGUAAAGCGUGCGCAGGCGGUUUUGUAAGUCUGACGUGAAAUCCCCGGGCUCAACCUGGGAAUUGCGUUGGAGACUGCAAGGCUAGAAUCUGGCAGAGGGGGGUAGAAUUCCACGUGUAGCAGUGAAAUGCGUAGAGAUGUGGAGGAAUACCGAUGGCGAAGGCAGCCCCCCUGGGAUAACACUGACGCUCAUGCACGAAAGCGUGGGGAGCAAACAGG
rnacentral:rRNA from 1 species